UGCAUUCACUACUGUAAGUCGGUCUGGAUAAGAACGUCUGCUAAAUUACUAAAA
rfam:Salmo salar isolate Sally breed double haploid chromosome ssa06, whole genome shotgun sequence.